ACAAGCUUGUGAGGUAGAACGAGGAGAAGAAGGCUAGGAAACGGGAGGACUUUAACCCGAGCCAGCAACCUUUAGAUCCAGAGAUGUGAUGAUAUCUCGUGGCGGGAGGCCCCAUGGCUCCAUAGCCAUUGGAGAUGGGUUGAUACAUUGUCCUCUCAUUCUCCCGGAAAUCAAGGCGCGCUAGACGAUCUCGUGUCCUGAGAUAAGGACUUGUCCACGGCCAGACGAUCUCGCCAUCGAGAUUAGUUAUAUGGACUCACAUAACUUUCCUCCAUUACAAUGUGUGUGCGUGGACAUGGAUGCUUAGAAUGCUAACGAGGAGUGGUAUUGCAGGCUGCUCUUCAGAGAGAGAGAGAGAGAGAGAGAGCGACAACCCACGCGCUUCUACAUGACAUGGACCGGGUGGCGGCGGAGAAGUAACGGGCUACGGAGGAUAAGACAGCUCGAUUGUUGGAGGAGGAGAGGGCACAGACUGAGGCGGCUCACCGGGCCAUGUACGAGCUCCUUGUGUCUAUGUGCGAGAAGACCAGUCAAACCCCUCCGUCGAUGUUAGUCAUUUCUGCGGUUGGAACGAAUAACUUCCAAGCUGCGUUGCACAACCCUUCUCGAGGGGAAACUGUCGCGUGCAACCAUUAUGCUUCACACCCGUGGUGACAAUGACGAUUUGAUUCUCUUAAUGGAAGCUGGCAUUGUUGGACUUCUAGUGUUUACCUUUUGUUUCGAUUUGUAUUGAUGAAAAAUGUGAACCUAUGUGUAUAUAUAGAUGAAUAGUGUGAAAGUAUAUAUGUACGUAUUGGUAUUUCUAGUAGCUUAUUUGUUGUUUUGUUCAAUAUUUCACGAUGAUGUUCGAUACAUGGACUAUGCUUCUUAUAUGAUGUUUGAAACUA